AAACUUUCAACAACGGAUCUCUUGGUUCUGGCAUCGAUGAAGAACGCAGCAAAAUGCGAUAAGUAAUGUGAAUUGCAGAAUUCAGUGAAUCAUCGAAUCUUUGAACGCACAUUGCGCCCUCUGGUAUUCCGGGGGGCAUGCCUGUUCGAGCGUCAUUA
rnacentral:rRNA from 1 species